rnacentral:sRNA from 1 species
CAGCUGCGGGCCGUGGUACCCCAGAUAGACAUGGAAGGGGAUCGCAACAUCUGGAUCGUGAAGCCAGGAGCCAAGUCCCGCGGACGAGGCAUCAUGUGCAUGGACCACCUGGAGGAGAUGCUGAAGCUGGUGAACGGCAACCCCGUGGUGAUGAAGGACGGCAAGUGGGUGGUGCAGAAGUAUAUUGAGCGGCCCCUCCUCAUCUUUGGCACCAAGUUUGACCUCAGACAGUGGUUCCUGCUCAGUGCACCUGUGCAACAACUCCAUCCAGAAGCACCUGGAGAACUCAUGCCAUCGGCAUCCACUGCUUCCGCCAGACAACAUGUGGUCUAGCCGGAGGUUCCAGGCCCACCUGCAGGAGAUGGGUGCCCCAAAUGCUUGGUCCACCAUCAUCGUGCCUGGCAUGAAGGAUGCUGUGAUCCACGCACUUCAGACCUCCCAGGACACCGUGCAGUGUCGGAAGGCCAGCUUUGAGCUCUAUGGCGCUGACUUCGUGUUCGGGGAGGACUUCCAGCCCUGGCUGAUUGAGAUCAACGCCAGCCCCACGAUGGCACCCUCCACAGCAGUCACUGCCCGGCUCUGUGCUGGCGUGCAAGCUGACACCCUGCGCGUGGUC